CCUACGGGAGGCUGCAGUGGGGAAUAUUGCACAAUGGGGGAAACCCUGAUGCAGCAACGCCGCGUGGGUGAAGAAGUAUCUCGGUACGUAAAGCUCUAUCAGCAGGGAAGAAAAUGACGGUACCUGACUAAGAAGCCCCGGCUAACUACGUGCCAGCAGCCGCGGUAAUACGUAGGGGGCAAGCGUUAUCCGGAUUUACUGGGUGUAAAGGGAGCGUAGGCGGCAGAACAAGUCUGAAGUGAAAUCCUGGGGCUUAACCCCGGAACUGCUUUGGAAACUGUUCGGCUGGAGUGCAGGAGGGGUAAGCGGAAUUCCUAGUGUAGCGGUGAAAUGCGUAGAGAUUAGGAGGAACACUGGUGGCGAAGGCGGCUUACUGGACUGUAACUGACGUUGAGGCUCGAAAGCGUGGGGAGCAAACAGGAUUAGAUACCCCUGUAGUC
rnacentral:rRNA from 1 species